UACGGGGGAUGCAAGCGUUAUCCGGAUUUAUUGGGUUUAAAGGGUGCGUAGGCUGUGAGGUAAGUCAGCGGUGAAAUGCCCCCGCUCAACGGGGUGAAGUGCCAUUGAUACUGCCUUGCUGGAAUGCGGAUGCCGUGGGAGGAAUGUGUGGUGUAGCGGUGAAAUGCAUAGAUAUCACACAGAACACCGAUUGCGAAGGCAUCUCACGAAUCCGCGAUUGUCGCUGAUGCACGAAAGCGUGGGUAUCAAACAGG
rnacentral:rRNA from 1 species